GAUGAACGCUGGCGGCGUGCCUAAUACAUGCAAGUCGAGCGAACAGAUAAGGAGCUUGCUCCUUUGACGUUAGCGGCGGACGGGUGAGUAACACGUGGGUAACCUACCUAUAAGACUGGAAUAACUCCGGGAAACCGGGGCUAAUGCCGGAUAACAUUUAGAACCGCAUGGUUCUAAAGUGAAAGAUGGUUUUACUAUCACUUAUAGAUGGACCCGCGCCGUAUUAGCUAGUUGGUAAGGUAACGGCUUACCAAGGCAACGAUACGUAGCCGACCUGAGAGGGGGAGCGGCCACACGGGAACUGAGACACGGUCCACUCCUACGGGAGGCAGCAGUAGGGAAUCUUCCGCAAUGGGCGAAAGCCUGACGGAGCAACGCCGCGUGAGUGAUGAAGGUCUUCGGAUCGUAAAACUCUGUUAUUAGGGAAGAACAAAUGUGUAAGUAACUGUGCACGUCUUGACGGUACCUAAUCAGAAAGCCACGGCUAACUACGUG
rnacentral:rRNA from 1 species